GGAACCCAAUUCAAUAUUUAGAUUCUGAUAUUAAGAGAAUAAUAUUUAUAAACACAGGGGCAGAUUCAAUAUUUGCAAAACAACAAAGGGUUUAUGGAGUUGUGGGGGUAUAAAACUGCAAUACAGCGUGGCGCACACAGCACAGUGUGUGGACACUUGCUUAUAUUAGAAUGUUUGUGGUCUUUUGGAUUACUGCUGUGUGGAGCGUCGAAACAGAGAGGGGGAAAAUAGAUCAAAAUCUUUUGAUGACAUAAGUGUAGUCUCUGUGCAUGUGAAGGAAACAGAUUUCUAAAAAGAGAUGGUUUUGAGAUCCUGCUUCGUGCUCAAGUGGAUGAUGACAUAGUUCUUUCCAGAUGUUGACAAUUCUUCUGACACCAAAACAUUCUGUAACUAGAAGUUCAAGGUAGCCAUCAGAUACUUUUGAGCCAAAGCUGUUAUUUUCACCUGAUUUAUUGCUGUUUGCCUCUGGAAUUGUAUUUAUACUAUCAUCCUUGACAAGUGAAUGCACCUCAGAUAAGCCAGACAGCCCUAAAAGAUGGUUAUUGUCCAGACCAUAGCAGACAUUCAAGUGUUCUGUACUUAAUGAAUUCAGUUGAUCUGAGCAAGUAUUUGUAAAGUUCCAGUUGUCAACAUCAUCUUCAGGCUCAUCCUAAAAAGGCAUAGAUGCCAGCUGUACUGUUGAGUUGGCAGAUUGAAAAGAAGUGAUGUUGGAAAAUAUAGGUGAACAUUCCUCCAAAAAAGGAAAUGAGCUUUUUGAAACAUCAGGAUUUGUUCUUCUUAGUGUCAACAGUUUUUUCUCUAGGAAUCAGCCUUGAAACUUCAGACCUAAAUUCAGUGUUAGUGCUUCUAGUAAAAAUGUCUAUGAGAGAAUUAACAACUUCAGCACUUUUUAGUGACAUUGGGAGAUCCAGUUCUAGUUGCUUGUUUUGAUUCAUUAAUAAGUACAUACAAGACAGUGCAGCUUCUUUAAAUACACUCAAGGAAGCAGUGCUUUGACAUAUUUCUUGGAUAUAUGCU